rnacentral:rRNA from 1 species
GAUGAACGCUGGCGGCGUGCUUAACACAUGCAAGUCGAACGAAGCAUUUGCGACAGAUUUUUUCGGAAUGAAGUUGCUUAUGACCGAGUGGCGGACGGGUGAGUAACGCGUGGGUAACCUGCCUUGUACUGGGGGAUAGCAGCUGGAAACGGCUGGUAAUACCGCAUAAGCGCACAAUGUUGCAUGACAUGGUGUGAAAAACUCCGGUGGUAUAAGAUGGACCCGCGUCUGAUUAGCUAGUUGGUGAGAUAACAGCCCACCAAGGCGACGAUCAGUAGCCGACCGGAGAGGGUGACCGGCCACAUUGGGACUGAGACACGGCCCAGACUCCUACGGGAGGCAGCAGUGGGGAAUAUUGCACAAUGGAGGAAACUCUGAUGCAGCGACGCCGCGUGAGUGAAGAAGUAAUUCGUUAUGUAAAGCUCUAUCAGCAGGGAAGAUAGUGACGGUACCUGACGAAGAAGCUCCGGCUAAAUACGUG